GACAUAGCUGAUGUAGCUGAUGCGCAAGCCUUGGUCGAGAACAGUGUCGGCCGAGGAGUUUGACUGGGGUGGUACGUUUGACAAACGUUAACGCAGGUAUCCUAAGGAAAGCUCAGCCUAGUCGGAAACCAUAAGUCGUAAAAAAGAGAAAGAACUCACUCAAUCGAUCUCGAUUUUUAGUACGAAUACCAAUUGCAAAAGCAUGACCUAUCGAUCCUUUUCAGGAUGAUAUAUUUUUUCCCCUCAGAAAAG
rnacentral:ncRNA from 1 species